GACGAACGCUGGCGGCGUGCCUAAUACAUGCAAGUCGAGCGGACCGGAUUGGGGCUUGCCUUGAUUCGGUCAGCGGCGGACGGGUGAGUAACACGUGGGCAACCUGCCCGCAAGACCGGGAUAACUCCGGGAAACCGGAGCUAAUACCGGAUAACACCGAAGACCGCAUGGUCUUCGGUUGAAAGGCGGCCUUUGGGCUGUCACUUGCGGAUGGGCCCGCGGCGCAUUAGCUAGUUGGUGAGGUAACGGCUCACCAAGGCGACGAUGCGUAGCCGGCCUGAGAGGGGGACCGGCCACGCUGGGACGGAGACACGGCCCAGACUCCUACGGGAGGCAGCAGUAGGGAAUCUUACGCAAUGGGCGAAAGCCGGACGGAGCGACGCCGCGUGAGCGAAGAAGGCCGUCGGGUCGGAAAGCUCUGUUGUGAGGGAAGAAGGAGCGUCGUUCGAAGAGGGCGGCGCGGUGACGGUACCUCACGAGAAAGCCCCGGCUAACUACGUG
rnacentral:rRNA from 1 species